UACGUAGGGUGCAAGCGUUGUCCGGAAUUAUUGGGCGUAAAGAGCUCGUAGGCGGUUUGUCGCGUCGAAUGUGAAAACCCGGGGCUCAACCCCGGGCCUGCAUUCGAUACGGGCAGACUAGAGUUCGGUAGGGGAGUCUGGAAUUCCUGGUGUAGCGGUGAAAUGCGCAGAUAUCAGGAGGAACACCGGUGGCGAAGGCGGGACUCUGGGCCAAUACUGACGCUGAGGAGCGAAAGCGUGGGGAGCGAACAGG
rnacentral:rRNA from 1 species